rnacentral:lncRNA from 1 species
ACCACGCUGUGGUGGCCGGGGCCAGGUAUAUGGUGACCUUCGACGGCCGGGUGUGGGGUCUCGGCGCCCCCUGUGGCGGUCUGCUGCUGGCCAAGGACUUUGCUAGGGACACGUUCUCACUGACGCUGAGCAGGGCGGGCUCGGGGCUCAUGUCCCUGUCCGUGAGGCUGAACCGCACGAGCCUCGUCCUCUACCCACACCUGAAGACCUACAGGCUGUACGACUCCUCGGUACCUGGGGAGAAUUGUCCCAACCUUGAUCUGCCUCCUGCCAAGAUGAGGAGGGACGUCCCCAGGAUCGAGCUGACCAGUGAGGAUGGCAUCUCUGUCGCCUGUGACGUCCGAGCCGGCCUCUGCAGCCUGACUCUGGGCCUCUGGCAGCACGGCGUGUCCGCCGGCCUCCUGGGAACCAACGAUAACGAGGCCAGCAAUGAGCUGAUGCUGCCCGACGGCACGGUGGCCGGCAGCCUGGAGGAGCUCACGCUCGCCUGGCAGGUGGGGGGCGACUGCAGGACAGUGGAGAAGACUCAGCAGGCCUGCCCCGGACAGAGUGCCCCCUGCCUGGCCUGCUUCCAGGACCCAGGCUCCAGCCUGGGGGACUGCUUCAGGGUGGUGGACCCCACACCAUUCCUCAGCCUGUGCAUCCGGGACGUGUGUGGCACCCAGGAUCUCCAGCCCGCCUGCACCCUGGCGGCCGCCUACAUCCACCUGUGUGCCCGGGCCUUCGUGCACCUUGCCCCGCUUCCUCAGUGUGUUUGAGAUUUUCCUUAAGCCGGCACCAGGCUGCCAAGAUUUCAAAGUCCUUCACCUUCCACCACAAGCCCAGCUCCGCAGCAAGGUCAAGAUUCUUGGCCAGGACGGAACAACCAGCACGAGACACCCGGGGGCUCAGAGAAGAGGGUGCUGGCUCCAGAUACCAGAAGGAGCAGUUUGCCAAUGCUUCAGAAUGCUUCUGGGGACAAGAAAGACCACAGCUGGUCUGGAUAAUUCUCCACCUUCCUCAAUACCUAUCAUCUAGGAGACAGCCUGGCCGCUGGACCCACCUCUGGGCGGGGCCUCCAGUCCGGCCACUGUCCUUGUCCUGGCUGUUUCUCGCUUGCUCAGCUGAGGCCUCCGUGGUGUGAGCCGGGCUGCCCCCGGGGUCUCCCUAGCUUCCUCUGCCCUCCGCAGGGGUCUCCCCUGAGGCGUGAGGUUCCUUGAGGCGGGCUGAUGGCCCCAGAUCCUUCAUCACAAGCCCAGUUGGGGAGCUUCCCUCUUUGGGGUCGCUACUGAAUCUGGAACGGAACAUUCCGGGGGGUGUUUGAAAAGCCCUCCUUCCUGAAGGGCCGGUCUCCACAGACACGUGCCGUGGGCACGAGGCGCUCAGGCCCCGAGGAGACGGCGCUCCAAGUCGUUCUUUCUUUGGGUGGCAGGCUUGUCCCUUGAAUGUUCAACCAAAACAUAAGGCUGGCGGAAUCCACGAACUCGUCCGUUGGGUGGCUGCGGCCGACCGUCUGCUGGAGAGACCGGGAGGCUGGGGGGCUGGGAAACCUGCCCACCCGCAGGGGGCCCCCUCGNUGGGCACGAGGCGCUCAGGCCCCGAGGAGACGGCGCUCCAAGUCGUUCUUUCUUUGGGUGGCAGGCUUGUCCCUUGAAUGUUCAACCAAAACAUAUGGGUGGCUGCGGCCGACCGUCUGCUGGAGAGACCGGGAGGCUGGGGGGCUGGGAAACCUGCCCACCCGCAGGGGGCCCCCUCGAGCCCUCUCUACACCCAGUCCCGGGGUCCAGAUUCUAGAGCAGAGAGCAAAGUGUCAGCCAUGAGGACGGGGGCAAGCAGAAGGCCAGACGCAGUUGUCCGCCCACCCCCCACGUAAACCCCUGGCAUGCAGCAGGUGCUUAAUAAAGCUUAGAAGAGGGACA